rnacentral:tRNA from 1 species
GGGAUUGUAGUUCAGGGGUAGAACGUUUCUUUCGCACUCCUAGAAGCUCCUCGAGUUUCGGGUCGAAACGACACUAGAAAAGGUCUUGGGUUCAAUUCCCAACAAUUCCA